UGCUUUGGGGUGGGGUGACUGCGUACCUUUUGUAUAAUGGGUCAGCGACUUAUAUUCUGUAGCAAGGUUAACCGUAUAGGGGAGCCGAAGGGAAACCGAGUCUUAACUGGGCGUUAAGUUGCAGGGUAUAGACCCGAAACCCGGUGAUCUAGCCAUGGGCAGGUUGAAGGUUGGGUAACACUAACUGGAGGACCGAACCGACUAAUGUUGAAAAAUUAGCGGAUGACUUGUGGCUGGGGGUGAAAGGCCAAUCAAACCGGGAGAUAGCUGGUUCUCCCCGAAAGCUAUUUAGGUAGCGCCUCGUGAACUCAUCUUCGGGGGUAGAGCACUGUUUCGGCUAGGGGGUCAUCCCGACUUACCAACCCGAUGCAAACUGCGAAUACCGAAGAAUGUUAUCACGGGAGACACACGGCGGGUGCUAACGUCCGUCGUGAAGAGGGAAACAACCCAGACCGCCAGCUAAGGUCCCAAAGUCACAGUUAAGUGGGAAACGAUGUGGGAAGGCUCAGACAGCCAGGAUGUUGGCUUAGAAGCAGCCAUCAUUUAAAGAAAGCGUAAUAGCUCACUGGUCGAGUCGGCCUGCGCGGAAGAUGUAACGGGGCUAAACUGUGCACCGAAGCUGCGGCAGCGACGCUUAUGCGUUGUUGGGUAGGGGAGCGUUCUGUAAGCCUGCGAAGGUGUCCUGUGAGGGAUGCUGGAGGUAUCAGAAGUGCGAAUGCUGACAUAAGUAACGAUAA
rnacentral:rRNA from 2 species